UAUAGCAGGGGUGUAAAUAAGUGGUACACAGGUGCGCAUGCGCGACCAGAAUAAAAAAUGCGCUGUGUAAAUAUGUUCAGAC